UGUUCGCAUAAGGGAUAGUAGUGGAAAUCCUUUUUGUUUUUUCUUUAAAAACAAAAAGAUUGAAACGGAUAGCCCGACCCGCA
rfam:Flavobacterium hercynium strain DSM 18292 43415_contig_18, whole genome shotgun sequence.